rnacentral:rRNA from 1 species
AGAGUUUGAUCAUGGCUCAGAACGUACGCUGGCGGCACGCCUUAUACAUGCAAGUCGAACGAAGUAGCAAUACUUAGUGGCAGACGGGUGAGUAACAUGUAGGUAUCUUCCCUUUGGUGAGGAAUAACACGAGGAAACUUGUGCUAAUACCUCAUAAGUCUUUACGGAGAAAGCUUUAUGCGCCGAAGGAUGAGCCUGCACUUGAUUAGUUUGUUGGUGGGGUAAUGGCCUACCAAGACUUUGAUCUAUAGCUGAUCUGAGAGGAUGAUCAGCCACAUUGGGACUGAGACACGGCCCAAACUCCUACGGGAGGCAGCAGUAGGGAAUAUUGCACAAUGGAGGAAACUCUGAUGCAGCGAUGCCGCGUGAGUGAAGAAGGCCUUGGGUUGUAAAGCUCUUUCGUCGGGGAAGAAAAUGACUGUACCCGAAUAAGAAGGUCCGGCUAACUUCGUGCCAGCAGCCGCGGUAAUACGAAGGGACCUAGCGUAGUUCGGAAUUACUGGGCUUAAAGAGUUCGUAGGUGGUUAAAAAAGUUGGUGGUGAAAUCCCAGAGCUUAACUCUGGAACUGCCAUCAAAACUUUUUAGCUAGAGUAUGAUAGAGGAAAGCAGAAUUUCUAGUGUAGAGGUGAAAUUCGUAGAUAUUAGAAAGAAUACCAAUUGCGAAGGCAGCUUUCUGGAUCAUUACUGACACUGAGGAACGAAAGCAUGGGUAGCGAAGAGGAUUAGAUACCCUCGUAGUCCAUGCCGUAAACGAUGUGUGUUAGACGUUGGAAAUUUAUUUUCAGUGUCGCAGCGAAAGCAUUAAACACACCGCCUGGGGGAGUACGACCGCAAGGGUUAAAACUCAAAUGAAUUGACGGGGACCCGCACAAGUAGUGGAGC